rnacentral:rRNA from 1 species
UACCAGCUCUCCGAGUGGUAGGGAUGUUUAUUGGGCUUAAAGCGUCCGUAGCCGGCUUAGCAAGUCUCCUGUUAAAUUCAGCGACCUAAUCGUUGGGCCGCGGGAGAUACUACUAGGCUAGGAGGCGGGAGAGGUCAACGGUACUUCCGGGGUAGGGGUGAAAUCCUAUAAUCCCGGGAGGACCACCAGUGGCGAUGGCUGUUGACUAGAACGCGCUCGACGGUGAGGGACGAAAGCUGGGGGAGCGAACCGGAUUAGAUACCCGGGUAGUCCCAGCUGUAAACGAUGCGAGCUAGGUGUUGGGGUGGCUACGUGCCACUUCAGUGCCGCAGGGAAGCCAUUAAGCUCGCCGCCUGGGGAGUACGGCCGCAAGGCUGAGACUUAAAGGAAUUGGCGGGGAGCACCACAAGGCGUGAAGCUUGCGGUUC